rnacentral:rRNA from 3 species
GGGUUGUGAGGUUAAGCGACUAAGCGUACACGGUGGAUGCCUUGGCAGUCAGAGGCGAUGAAGGACGUGCUAAUCUGCGAUAAGCGUCGGUAAGGUGAUAUGAACCGUUAUAACCGGCGAUUUCCGAAUGGGGAAACCCAGUGUGAUUCGUCACACUAUCAUUAACUGAAUCCAUAGGUUAAUGAGGCGAACCGGGGGAACUGAAACAUCUAAGUACCCCGAGGAAAAGAAAUCAACCGAGAUUCCCCCAGUAGCGGCGAGCGAACGGGGAGCAGCCCAGAGCCUGAAUCAGUGUGUGUGUUAGUGGAAGCGUCUGGAAAGGCGUGCGAUACAGGGUGACAGCCCCGUACACAAAAAUGCACAUACUGUGAGCUCGAUGAGUAGGGCGGGACACGUGGUAUCCUGUCUGAAUAUGGGGGGACCAUCCUCCAAGGCUAAAUACUCCUGACUGACCGAUAGUGAACCAGUACCGUGAGGGAAAGGCGAAAAGAACCCCGGCGAGGGGAGUGAAAAAGAACCUGAAACCGUGUACGUACAAGCAGUGGGAGCACGCUUAGGCGUGUGACUGCGUACCUUUUGUAUAAUGGGUCAGCGACUUAUAUUCUGUAGCAAGGUUAACCGAAUAGGGGAGCCGAAGGGAAACCGAGUCUUAACUGGGCGUUAAGUUGCAGGGUAUAGACCCGAAACCCGGUGAUCUAGCCAUGGGCAGGUUGAAGGUUGGGUAACACUAACUGGAGGACCGAACCGACUAAUGUUGAAAAAUUAGCGGAUGACUUGUGGCUGGGGGUGAAAGGCCAAUCAAACCGGGAGAUAGCUGGUUCUCCCCGAAAGCUAUUUAGGUAGCGCCUCGUGAAUUCAUCUCCGGGGGUAGAGCACUGUUUCGGCAAGGGGGUCAUCCCGACUUACCAACCCGAUGCAAACUGCGAAUACCGGAGAAUGUUAUCACGGGAGACACACGGCGGGUGCUAACGUCCGUCGUGAAGAGGGAAACAACCCAGACCGCCAGCUAAGGUCCCAAAGUCAUGGUUAAGUGGGAAACGAUGUGGGAAGGCCCAGACAGCCAGGAUGUUGGCUUAGAAGCAGCCAUCAUUUAAAGAAAGCGUAAUAGCUCACUGGUCGAGUCGGCCUGCGCGGAAGAUGUAACGGGGCUAAACCAUGCACCGAAGCUGCGGCAGCGACGCUUAUGCGUUGUUGGGUAGGGGAGCGUUCUGUAAGCCUGUGAAGGUGUGCUGUGAGGUAUGCUGGAGGUAUCAGAAGUGCGAAUGCUGACAUAAGUAACGAUAAAGCGGGUGAAAAGCCCGCUCGCCGGAAGACCAAGGGUUCCUGUCCAACGUUAAUCGGGGCAGGGUGAGUCGACCCCUAAGGCGAGGCCGAAAGGCGUAGUCGAUGGGAAACAGGUUAAUAUUCCUGUACUUGGUGUUACUGCGAAGGGGGGACGGAGAAGGCUAUGUUGGCCGGGCGACGGUUGUCCCGGUUUAAGCGUGUAGGCUGGUUUUCCAGGCAAAUCCGGAAAAUCAAGGCCGAGGCGUGAUGACGAGGCACUACGGUGCUGAAGCAACAAAUGCCCUGCUUCCAGGAAAAGCCUCUAAGCAUCAGGUAACAUCAAAUCGUACCCCAAACCGACACAGGUGGUCAGGUAGAGAAUACCAAGGCGCUUGAGAGAACUCGGGUGAAGGAACUAGGCAAAAUGGUGCCGUAACUUCGGGAGAAGGCACGCUGAUACGUAGGUGAAGCGACUUGCUCGUGGAGCUGAAAUCAGUCGAAGAUACCAGCUGGCUGCAACUGUUUAUUAAAAACACAGCACUGUGCAAACACGAAAGUGGACGUAUACGGUGUGACGCCUGCCCGGUGCCGGAAGGUUAAUUGAUGGGGUUAGCGCAAGCGAAGCUCUUGAUCGAAGCCCCGGUAAACGGCGGCCGUAACUAUAACGGUCCUAAGGUAGCGAAAUUCCUUGUCGGGUAAGUUCCGACCUGCACGAAUGGCGUAAUGAUGGCCAGGCUGUCUCCACCCGAGACUCAGUGAAAUUGAACUCGCUGUGAAGAUGCAGUGUACCCGCGGCAAGACGGAAAGACCCCGUGAACCUUUACUAUAGCUUGACACUGAACAUUGAGCCUUGAUGUGUAGGAUAGGUGGGAGGCUUUGAAGUGUGGACGCCAGUCUGCAUGGAGCCGACCUUGAAAUACCACCCUUUAAUGUUUGAUGUUCUAACGUGGACCCGUGAUCCGGGUUGCGGACAGUGUCUGGUGGGUAGUUUGACUGGGGCGGUCUCCUCCUAAAGAGUAACGGAGGAGCACGAAGGUUGGCUAAUCCUGGUCGGACAUCAGGAGGUUAGUGCAAUGGCAUAAGCCAGCUUGACUGCGAGCGUGACGGCGCGAGCAGGUGCGAAAGCAGGUCAUAGUGAUCCGGUGGUUCUGAAUGGAAGGGCCAUCGCUCAACGGAUAAAAGGUACUCCGGGGAUAACAGGCUGAUACCGCCCAAGAGUUCAUAUCGACGGCGGUGUUUGGCACCUCGAUGUCGGCUCAUCACAUCCUGGGGCUGAAGUAGGUCCCAAGGGUAUGGCUGUUCGCCAUUUAAAGUGGUACGCGAGCUGGGUUUAGAACGUCGUGAGACAGUUCGGUCCCUAUCUGCCGUGGGCGCUGGAGAACUGAGGGGGGCUGCUCCUAGUACGAGAGGACCGGAGUGGACGCAUCACUGGUGUUCGGGUUGUCAUGCCAAUGGCACUGCCCGGUAGCUAAAUGCGGAAGAGAUAAGUGCUGAAAGCAUCUAAGCACGAAACUUGCCCCGAGAUGAGUUCUCCCUGACCCUUUAAGGGUCCUGAAGGAACGUUGAAGACGACGACGUUGAUAGGCCGGGUGUGUAAGCGCAGCGAUGCGUUGAGCUAACCGGUACUAAUGAACCGUGAGGCUUAACCUUACAACGCCGAAG